UAACCUCCAAUUAAAAUAAAUAAAUUUAUAUUAAAAAAUAAAUAGAUAACUGACAUAAGCAGUGAAACUGGGUGCUUCCAUCUCAAAUCCUCUUAUAGAUUGUAGUUGGGAUGUUUGCCAAGGCUGAGGUUUCCAUUUGAAGGGUUGAUGGGAAAGGACCUGUUUCUAAACUCAUUUCUUGCAGCUGUUGGCAAGAAUUCAGUUCUUUGCUGGUGAUUGGACAGAGACUUCUUUCACUGUCUUAUCAAUGGGCCUCUCUAUAAGGCAGCUUGAGACAUGGCAGCUAGCUGUCCUCCCUUAGAGCAAGUAAGAGAGAAUAAAAAUAGGGUACCCAAAAUGAAAGCCAUAAUCUUUCUGUAAUGUACUGNNNNNNNNNNNNNNNNNNNNNNNNNNNNNNNNNNNNNNNNNNNNNNNNNNNNNNNNNNNNNNNNNNNNNNNNNNNNNNNNNNNNNNNNNNNNNNNNNNNNNNNNNNNAGGAAGUGGGCAUUGUCGGGGGUCAUUCCCCACACUGGGCAUACCACACUGGGUUAUAGCUCCAGUGGGCUGGGUUGAUGAUUUUCAGCAUUAUACUCUCUGCCUCUCUUGAUCUAGUUGUGGAUUCCAGUCACAGAGGUAGAUCCCAAGCAUUGGGCAUGCCCUAUAAUCAAAGCACUCCUCUCCAGGAUAUUCACAGAAGGGUGGAUAGGCUGCAGGCUGCUCCCUAGUCACUCCCAUAUUACAGCUGUUUCUACUCCCCAAUCAUAGUUAUACCUCAGGUCACUGUUUAAUCAGCUGAACUCAGACUCUGUCCCUUCACUCUUCAAAGUACCACCAACUCAAGACUUUAUUAACAGACAGUUUUACUGAUGGCUCCAGGGUAACUGAGAUUAUGUACUGCCUCUCAGCAGAUGUCUUCAAAAUUGAACAUUAGCCAGUUCUGUGUCCUUAAAAUUAUUUCAGUCCCCUAAGCGCUGGCAACUUCUCAGAGGUCACCUUUCACAGAGGUUCCACUUGGGACUUUGUUCCUCACUCUUCAGGGACAGCACACAGAGCCGGUUGGGCUCUGCACAAGAGUGCUUGGCUAACUGGGUGAGUAAAGGACUGCCCUUCAGCUCAUAUUCUGCUCCACACUCAGGCACGCGUCUUACAGCAGGGCUUCACCUGCCUGAUGCUGCACAAAGUGCCAUCUGGGGUAGUUGAAGCUCUCUGCCCUUUUACACUGCUUUCCAGGCCACCUUCUCUGACGUCUAAGCUAUUCUUGGAAACUCCUGUGACAAGAAAGAAAAAAAAAUGAUGAAAAGCCUACUAUUAUUCACAAUUUACAAAUUCUAAGAAAAGUGAAUCCUAGAAGUUAAAGAACUGUUUUUUUCUGCUGAACACAUAAUUUCUAAUGCAAUGGUCUUUCACAGACUUGAUGAAAGAGUUCAGUGGAGAGUGUGAAGAUGAAAAAUUAGAAAAACUUGGGAAAAGCUAAAUUCCUUUGUUUAAGAAAAGGGAAUUAAAAAUAUUGGUGGAUAUAAAAAUACUGGCAACCCACUCCAGCAUUCUCGCCUGGAAAAGUCUGUGAACAGAGGAGCCUGGAGGGCUACAGUCCAUGGAGUUGCAAAGAGUAGGACGUAACUGAGCACAAACAAACAAGGGCCCACCCUAAAUCCAGAGUGAUCUCAUCUCAAAAUCCACAAUUUACAGGUGCAAAGAUUGUUUUUCCAAAUAAGGUCACCUUUGCAGAUUCUGGGGGUUACAACUCGGGUAUACCUUUGUGGGCUACUAUUAAACCUGCUGUAAUCUGGUAACAACCAAAAAAAAAGGAGUUGGGAAGAGUCUGGAACCAGGAGCUAGAGGCUGCCUAGAGACUGAGAAGAGCUACUUUGCAGAUAAAAGAUAUAUCUGAUGGGCUUUUCUUUUUUUGGAAUGCAACGGCGUUCCCCUGAGACUUAAAACAUACUUUCACCUUCCUAAAGUUUACAUUACUCACAAUUUCCUAGUGGUAUGUGUUCGCUUGGAUAGGAGACAGGGAUAGAAGUGACACUAUACACAUGUUUGGGUUAAAAACUCUAAAUUUCUUACUCUAUUUCACAGAACACUUUAGUUCUCACAUUUCUUCAAAUUCUUGAGCAUACCCUAAGGCCUAUAUUUCCAUAGCCCCAUCAGAAAGGUUUGUGCUAAACCAAAGGCAGUAUGUCCUAUUCCUAUAAGAAGAGGCUGUCAUCAGUGACUAUUUAAAUAACAAUUGUUCUUCUCUAUCAAAUAAACUUGAAACUCCCCACCAAAUUACUAAUGUGCAUCAGGUGAAGUAACUUUGGUUGAAUCUCUGGAAUUUUCACACAUAUCAUAUCAUCAAAUAAUCUAAGAAAACUAGUAUUAUUCUCCCAUUUUACAUAUGAGGAAGUAACAGCUAGGGAGGUUUAAUAACUUCUAGAAGGUAAUAAAGUAAGAAAUAGAAAAAAACAGAAAUCAGAUCUCUGACCCUAGAACUCCACUUUUUUCCCUUCAGCAUAUAUCUCCACAUAAAUAGUUUGGUCUCAGGUGAAGCAUUAGCAAAGAGCUAUCAAUACAGAGUAUAUAGAAAAUGCUUGAAUUCCUCAGACCAAAAAAUAAUGAGCUUGCUUGUGUUCUGCAUCCCUAUUUUAUGAGCUCCAAGAUAGAUUGAAAGCUUAGGGGCAUAUUGUCCUAAGGAAGAAGAUUCACAGGCAUUCAGAAUAACCAAAUAUUUAACAUACCCAAACCUGUGCCCAUAGCAUGAUUUGCAUCCAGUAUGAUAAUUUACAUGGAACAGAAUUUUUUAAUUUAAGAGUUUCGGCUGAGGCUCUAAGUUAGAAUAGAUAGUUAAAUACCAAAGAGGUUUUUGAGGAAAAAAAAAAAAAAAACUGCAUCAUACUUUCAAGACAUUAUCCAAAGACCAGAUCAAAGUCUGGUUUGUACCAAUAGGGAGAUAUAAAAUACUUGAAAAAGUACAGCUGGGGAGAGGACUCUAUAAGAAAGAUGAGGAUGCCGUAUCAGGGGCUCUAACCCUUCAGAUCACUAAAAAGAAAGGAUGAAGAGGUUUCUGCUCCUUCACCUCAAGCUUACAGCAAAGAGUGCUUCCAUGAGAUCACCAUGAGAGAUGGAGAUCUGACUUUUGGCAGCUUAGGACACAGAGUUUGGCCUCUCCCUAGCAACACUAGGAGAGCUGCCUUGGUAUCAAAGCAAAGAUAGACUUUUGCUGCCUAUGAAAGGUAUCUGCAUUUGCAUUCAAAUCAUACGUGAGUAUUGAAUGUACACCAGAUGGUCUCACAGGAGUCAGCUGAUAGCCUGCCUAAGUCAACUACCUGGAAGGGUCAUUGGGAUCCAAUAGAAAGACACUAACAUAUCUCAUGAGUCAUGCUAGUUCAUACCCCAGUUACAAAUGAAACAAAAGUUUGAAGAGGUCCAAUCAGAGUUUUGUCUUCAAAAAAAAAAGAAAGCUUUUCUUGGUUUAGAACACUUCAGCCACAAAAAUUACUUUGAAAAUGAUUAGACUUCAUAGCUGACUUUACCUCACAAAUUACCCAUAUGUUCCAGCUCAUGUUACAAUUUCUUUGGGGAGCAUUAAAAUGAUUUUUCAAUUUUCUCACUCAAUUUCUUCUAUCUCUGCUGAAAAUAAGAGAUGAUAUCAUAUGAUAAGAGCAAAUCACUUUAAAUUAGACCUACUUGACUUUUGUCUUGCAGUCAAUCAAAUGCUGAUCAAAUGUGUUUUUUCCCCAUAGAAAAACAAACUGUAGAGAAUUAAUAAAGAAGCACUUCUUAUAUU
rnacentral:lncRNA from 1 species